ACUUCGGUCCCGAGUAGAGUGGCGCACGGGUGAGUAACGCGUAAGUGAUCUACCCCUGUAUCUGGGAUAACUGUGGGAAACUGCAGCUAAUACCGGAUACGUUCAUGUAGUUGCGAUUAUGUGAAGAAAGAUGGCCUCUGAUUCAAGCUAUUGUACAGGGAGGAGCUUGCGUACCAUUAGCUAGUUGGUAGGGUAAUGGCCUACCAAGGCAACGAUGGUUAGCGGGUCUGAGAGGGUGAUCCGCCACACUGGAACUGAAACACGGACCAGACUCCUACGGGAGGCAGCAGUGAGGAAUAUUGCGCAAUGGGGGCAACCCUGACGCAGCGACGCCGCGUGGAUGAUGAAGGCCUUCGGGUCGUAAAAUCCUGUCAGAUGGGAAGAAGUGUGCGAUGGCUAAUACCUGUUGCAUUUGACGGUACCAUCAGAGGAAGCACCGGCUAACUCCGUGCCAGCAGCCGCGGUAAUACGGAGGGUGCAAGCGUUGUUCGGAAUUACUGGGCGUAAAGCGCGCGUAGGCGGUUUGUUAAGUCAGAUGUGAAAGCCCAAGGCUCAACCUUGGACGUGCAUUUGAAACUGGCAGACUUGAGUAUUGGAGGGGGUGGUGGAAUUCCCGGUGUAGAGGUGAAAUUCGUAGAUAUCGGGAGGAAUACCGGUGGCGAAGGCGACCACCUGGCCAAAUACUGACGCUGAGGUGCGAAAGCGUGNGGAGCAAACAGGAUUAGAUACCCUGGUAGUCCACGCCG
rnacentral:rRNA from 1 species